UAUCCGCGACACCUUAAAGGCCGGUCCGUGAAAAUAUUGUCGGCCAUAAACCGGUCCGUGGCGCAAAAAAGGUUGGGGACCGCUGCUUUAAAACACCCAUUUUCUAUACUUUUAUAUUGAGGAUAUGCUAUGAGUGUUGUGCUUUUGUUGCCAUCCUGCAAAAUGUAUUUAUUUAAACAUAACAGAAGACUUGUGCUUUUGCAUGCCUUUAAUGCUUACUCUCUUCACAGAGCUGUUUUAAAGUUAAGUUCAUAUAGAUUCUUUAACAUGUUGUAGUUAAAGGAAACCAAACAGUCGUCCUACCCAUUCAAAGGUACUUAAAGCGCAGUAUCCAUGUGUUGUGGUUGUGGCUGGUCAGUGCAUCUGCCAUCUGUAUUGAUAAGAUUUCCUGAGGGGAAACAAUUGUGUGAAAUGCAGGAAGCCAUUAGGAAGCCAGGGACUCAUGUCUCUCCCUGCUGAGUAAAUAGUGCCUGGGCCUCCCCGAUUUCAUCCACUUUUGAAUGAGCCCAGCACUUGUAACAAUAAAGGCAGGAAAUGAACUGUACUCACACAGAAGCGUGCAGGAUGCUCAUUGUGUUCCUAAUUGACCAAACUAGGUUGGGUGAUGAAAGCAGACUUUUUUUUCCCCCCCCCUUUGUUGGACAAAAAUAACUCAAAGGUAGCAUACAGUAGGUGUGGUCGAACAAGCAGCUAAUGAGGCGGUAUUUCAUUUCAGCAUAGUUUCAUUUAUUUAUUUAUUAUCUUUAGAUCAUUUUGGGCUGUUGUGGUCACGUCCUAACUGACCCAGUUUGUGUGAAAUGGGACCUCACAGCUCGGACCCAUGACUGCCUAAUGUUGCUUGGUAUUGCUUACAUGUGCACAUACACGAGCAAUGGAGAAAAAAUAAUAAAAAGUAGUGCAUAGGAGAGAGCAGACGUGUCAGCACUUGGUACCUCAUGUGCUGUGUGAAAACAAUCACUCCCCACUUUCAGCUUGUUUAUGAUUUCCUAAGCUCAUCUGGCUGCAACAUCCUUGUUUUUUCUCUGUGGAAGGCAGCCAUGACUCUCACCCAGACAGCAUUACUUAAGUUGUCACCUGAGAAGCCCUCCUGGGGAAAGUUGUUUUGUCCUUGAGUGUAGACCAUAAGCGUAUUUAGGCUGAUCUGUAUUCAGGGGAGAUUGGUAAUGUAGUAGGGAUUGAGGUUAUGCCUCCUACCAGUCCUGCCGCUCCUAAGACAAAAUUCAGCGUGUGUGUGUCUGUGUUGUGUGUGUGUGUGUCAGCACGCGCACUUUUAGCCAUUAGCCUUUUCUUUCCGUGAACAUUGGCUAUGCACUAAGGUAAUUGUAAACCAAGAAUCAAAUAAACCAGUUUCUAAAUGGCCAUUUUGGUUUCAUUGUUGGGUAAAGAAUGUGCGGCUCUCUGGCCCACUUUUUGUGCUCGGCAUAAUUGAUAUUUGCUUUACCCCUAGAUUAAGUGACAGCUAAGCAGGUUAGCAUUGAGGAUUUUCCCCGAUUAAUUCCAAGAGUCCAAUCUGAGCAGGCUGGCCACGCUCCCUGUAUCAUCCCGAACGUCUGCCUUACCUGGGAUUUACUAGCAUAUGAAAGGGAAAUGAGAUCAGAGGUGAUAAAUCCUGCAGCAAAGCCUCCCUCAGUGAAAAUGAGAUGCCCACAUGGUAUUGUCUGUCAGCAGGUGCCCCUGCUCUCAUUUCUGAUAAAUUGAUUUUGAACAUUCAGGUGAUGGGAAGUGGGGUAGCCCUACUGAGUGCAGGCUUUUUUUCCCCUUUGUAUUGUGCCUUGUAAUAUGCUCCGGUCUGGCUGUCUUCCUUUUGUUGCAGUAGAGCCCCAUUGUAGUGGUUACUCAUUCACACCAUGUCCACACACUGUUAGGUUCCCCCUAUCCCAGCAGAUUUGCAAGCAAGUAAUUUAGGGGUUGUUAAGUGAUUUAGCAUCUGUCUUUGAUAGGACCCUAGUGAGCCACAACUGCCACCCCCCUUUCCGCCCAUCGCUGUCUGUGCCUGUGGCAUCAAGGCCUGCGUUUGAAUUUCAAUCAGCCCUGGAUACAUUGUUGUGUUUAUUUGAGGGGGAUGGGUUGGAUGGGGUGUCAGUAGUAACUGACUGUGUGUGUGUGUCAAUCAAAUAUUCAGCGUGACCAAUGGGCAGCUCAAUGGAGGCUAGUCGGUGUGUUCUCUGGGGGGCACACGUCUUUAACCGAUGCCCGUAGGGCGAACUCUGCCCCUCACUUCUUUAGUUGACUGGCGCCACCCUCCCUUCCUCGUCAUCCUCCUUCCACAACACAAACGCAGGCGAUGCAAUCAAUAACGGCCUCACCCUCCUCCUCCUUCUAGCACCCUACCUCCCCCCUGCUCCAACCUCUCUUCUCUGCUUUCUAUCUAUCAGCACAGUGUUUGAUGUUGCUUCAUCAUUCUGUCAUCCCCCCCGACACCUUGAUGUGUGUAAUUGUGUUAGAUUUGUCAUGGUGGCAUAGUUAUUUGGCCCGGCCCAGCUGGUAUUAAGCCAGAGGGCGUUAUUCCACGUACCUGCAACCCAGGCAUUAGUUGUAAAAUAUCCGUGGCGUCUCAUUUUAUUUCAAUGUGGCAUUUUGCAGUUGUGGUUCACUUGGUUCUCCCAGUACCCUAAGGUACGUUCCGUCCUUUAUUAAGGACCAUUUUGCAUUUUCUGAUUUCCAUUGUUCCCAACUCGCUCUGCUUCUUCCCUCUCACCAGGCAGUGAGGCAUAAGCGAUCUCGCAUUAAAAAUCAAACCCCACAGCAGAUUGGUUGUAGGAAAUGAGAGGAAUUGAUGGGGGGGUGGAGAGAAAGAAGUCUCACAGAUAAACAGUCAGACAGAUGCCAGCAUCAUAGUAAGGCUGUGAAAAAUUGCUUGGAAAAAAUGUAUCAUUGGACAUUUCUGGCACUGAUUUUUCAUUAGCACCUUAUUUCUUAAAGACUGCGCUCAGUGUGAAAAUAUUUGACAGUAACCGUUCUUAUUUCCCCCCCAGAGGAAAACUGGCAUUGCUUUCCAAAUAUCUGUUUGGAAAGGAAUGCAGUUUCAUUUGUGUCGGAUGUAAAGAUCACUGUGUUAAUGUGGAGGCUGCGUGAGUAGACGCACAAUGGAAUCAGAUCUUUAUUUGAAAAAAAUGGGGUUUUUUUUAUUUUUAUUGGAAACCUUACCAGUGACGCUCCCAAUUCAUUAUCUUCAUCUUCGUUUCAUCAAAUCGCUUCAUCAAACAAUCCUCGUCUCCUAAUGUAACACUGGCUAAUUUCGUUUUGCGAGGCUUUUCUGUGCAACCUGUUGUGCGAGGAAAAUCUAAUCAAUACAUUUGUUUCGCGAGAAACAGUGGGGGGAUGUAGUGCGAGAGGGGGAAAGAUGGUGCGCACAGGAGACUGUGCAAUGAGGAAGACGUAAGAGGCACUCUGAGAGAAUCCGUCCUUGUCGAUUAUGCACGCGCUACAACCUUGACAGCCACAUUAGAUCUCUUACUCCGUACACCAAACUACCAUUAAUAAUGGAUACAUCUUUCUAGUUCUUUUUGCUUUCCUCUUCCCCUCCCCCCAGUAUUGGCCCUUAAGGCGUCUACCCCUCUUUCCCUACCUCCAUCCUGUCCUACUCUCCCCUUCCCCCCCUGUCCCCCCCCCCCCCCGUUUCAGCUGCGAGCCCGCUACCCAGGAGCCACGGCAGGUGUGCAUACAUCUUACAUGGUGCUGGCCACACAGCCUGCAGCACCCAAACAGUCAUAAUCAGACAGGCACACCCACCUGCUUGAGAAAGACCACUGUUGAAUAGUUGCUCGUGUUUGCUUUCCCCUUUUUGUAGCGGUUCAUGUUAUCGGGGUUUAGAUGAGGACAUUAGCCUGGUUUUGUUUCUCCUGACAGAAGCCCACAGACAGUGACAAAUGAAUAUCACACAAAUUCUGCAAAGACACUGAGGAUGAAACGGCACAUACAAGCUAUUGUUAACACUCAUCUGCAAGCACAGUGGUAAAAGGCAUGUUUUAUUAAUAUUAUUUGCUGUUUGAUUGUCACUUUUCGCAUCGCACUUAUCAUCCGAUCCAAGAUAACGGCCUCCAAAACACAAGCCUGAUGCUUAUCAUCAGUUUUAUCUGAAUCUAGAAUUGUAGGAGUCGCACAAAAGAG